rnacentral:rRNA from 1 species
UACCCGCAGCACAAGUGGUGGUCAUUAUUAUUGGGCCUAAAGCGUCCGUAGCUGGCGUGUUAGAUGCCUGGGUAAAUCGAUGCGCUUAACGCAUCGAACUCCGGGUAGACCGGCACGCUCGAGACCGGGAGAGGCAUGGGCUACUCGCGGGGUAGGGGUAAAAUCCUGUAAUCCUGCGGGGAGGACCAGUGGCGAAGGCGCCGUGCUAGAACGGCUCUGACAGUGAGGGACGAAGCCCUGGGGCGCAAACCGG